CGGGAGUAAUGUAUGGGGAUCUGCCCGAUAGAGGGGGAUAACUACUGGAAACGGUGGCUAAUACCGCAUAAUGUCUACGGACCAAAGCAGGGGCUCUUCGGACCUUGCACUAUCGGAUGAACCCAUAUGGGAUUAGCUAGUAGGUGGGGUAAAGGCUCACCUAGGCGACGAUCUCUAGCUGGUCUGAGAGGAUGAUCAGCCACACCGGGACUGAGACACGGCCCAG
rnacentral:rRNA from 1 species